CCCCUUCCUGCUGCUGUGACAGUGAAAGGUGAGCCGCCUUCCUGCCAUGACAGUAAGAGGUGAGCCCCCUUCCUGCUGUGACAGUGAGAGGUGAGUCCCCUUCCUGCUGCUGUGACAGUGAAAGGUGAGCCGCCUUCCUGCCAUGACAGUAAGAGGUGAGCCCCCUUCCUGCUGUGACAGUGAGAGGUGAGCCGCCUUCCUGCCAUGACAGUAAGAGGUGAGCCCCCUUCCUGCAGUGACACUGAGGGGUGAGCAGUCUUCCUGCAGUGACACUGAGGGGUGAGCCUCCUUCCAGCCAUGACAUUGAGAGGUGAGCCGCCUUCCUGCCAUGACAUUGAGAGGUGAGCCCCCUUCCUGCCGUGACAGUGAGAGGUGAGGCCCCCUUCCUGCCAUGACACUGAGGGGUGAGCCCCCUUCCUGCCGUGACACUGAGGGGUGAGCCUCCUUCCUGCAGUGACACUGAGGGGUGAUCCCCCUUCCUGCUGCUGUGACAGUGAGGGGUGAGCUCACUUCCUGUCGCUGUGACAGUGAGAGGUGAGCCCCCUUCCUGCCGUGACACUGAGGGGUGAGCCCCCUUCCUGCUGUGACAGUGAGGGGUGAGCUGCCUUCCUGACGUGACAGUGAGGGGUGAUCCCCCUUCCUGCCGCUGUGACAGUGAGGGGUGAGCUCACUUCCUGUCGCUGUGACAGUGAGAGGUGAUCCCCCUUCCUGCCGCUGUGACAGUGAGCCCCCUUCCUGCCAUGACACUGAGGGGUGAGCCUCCUUCCUGCAGUGACACUGAGGGGUGAGCCUCCUUCCUGCCGUGACACUGAGGGGUGAGCCUCCUUCCUGCCAUGACAGUGAGAGGUGAGCCGCCUUCCUGCCAUGACAUUGAGAGGUGAUCCCCCUUCCUGCCGAGACAGUGAGAGGUGAGCCCCCUUCCUGCCAUGACACUGAGGGGUGAGCCCCCUUCCUGCCGUGACACUGAGAGGUGAGCCGCCUUCCUGCCAUGACAGUGAGAGGUGAGUCCCCUUCCUGCUGCCGAGACAGUGAGAGUUGAGCGCCCUUCCUGCAGUGACAGGGAGAGGUGAGCCCCCUUCCUGCCGCUGUGACAGUGAGAGGUGAGCCCCCUUCCUGCCGCUGUGAGAGUUGAGCCCCUUCUGCCGUGACAGUGAGAGGUGAGCCCCCUUCCUGCUGUGACAGUGAGAGGUGAGCCCCCUUCCUGCCGUGACACUGAGGGGUGAGCCUCCUUCCUGCCGUGACACUGAGGGGUGAGCCCCCUUCCUGCUGUGACAGUGAGAGGUGAGCCCCCUUCCUGCUGUGACAGUGAGAGGUGAGCCCCCUUCCUGCCGUGACAGUGAGAGGUGAGCGCUCUUCCUGCCAUGACAGUGAGGGGUGAGCCCCCUUCCUGCUGUGACAGUGAGGGGUGAGCCCCUUUCCUGCAGUGACACUGAGGGGUGAGCCUCCUUCCUGCCAUGACAGUGAGAGGUGAGCCCCCUUCCUGCUGUGACAGCAGCCUGCUCAGGGUUUGCUCCAGGGUCGUGCGUUCCGGGGGUGCCCAGCAAACUCAGAGAGGCCGAGGAAAGGCAGCUUUCCCUUUCCGUCUCAACUUCCUUCCUUUUUGUCGCUUUUCUUCCUUUCGGCGGCUGCUAUUCGUACCCGUCGGCCGGCCACUCACAAACGUUUUGGAAGGCGAGGCUCGCUGUGCUGGGGCGGCCUAGCUUCUCUCCGGGUCUACCGGUGCAGACGCAGCAGGCGAGGCCCCGGCUUACGGCCUACGACCCUGUGGGGGCGGGGCGUGGUGGGGC
ensembl:lncRNA